UCGGGAAUUUUGGGCAAUGGGCGAAAGCCUGACCCAGCAACGCCGCGUGAAGGAUGAAGUAUUUCGGUAUGUAAACUUCGAAAGAAUAGGAAGAAUAAAUGACGGUACUAUUUAUAAGGUCCGGCUAACUACGUGCCAGCAGCCGCGGUAAUACGUAGGGACCAAGCGUUGUUCGGAUUUACUGGGCGUAAAGGGCGCGUAGGCGGCAAUUCAAGUCAUCUGUGAAAUCUCCGGGCUUAACUCGGAACGGUCAGAUGAUACUGCUUUGCUAGAGUGCAGAAGGGGCAAUCGGAAUUCUUGGUGUAGCGGUGAAAUGCGUAGAGAUCUGGAGGAACACCGAUGGCGAAGGCAGCCCCCUGGGCUAACACUGACGCUCAUGCACGAAAGCGUGGGGAGCAAACAGGAUUAGAUACCCCCGUAGUCCCUGAGCGGGCUGGCAAGGCGCAU
rnacentral:rRNA from 1 species